GUAGGUGGCAAGCGUUGUCCGGAAUUAUUGGGCGUAAAGCGCGCGCAGGCGGUCCUUUAAGUCUGAUGUGAAAGCCCACGGCUCAACCGUGGAGGGUCAUUGGAAACUGGGGGACUUGAGUACAGAAGAGGAAAGCGGAAUUCCAAGUGUAGCGGUGAAAUGCGUAGAGAUUUGGAGGAACACCAGUGGCGAAGGCGGCUUUCUGGUCUGUAACUGACGCUGAGGCGCGAAAGCGUGGGGAGCAAACAGGGAUUAGAUACCCUGGUAGUCCACGCCGUAAACGAUGAGUGCUAAGUGUUAGGGGGUUUCCCGCCCCUUAGUGCUGCAGCUAACGCACUAAGCACUCCGCCUGGGGAGUACGGCCGCAAGGCUG
rnacentral:rRNA from 1 species